rnacentral:rRNA from 1 species
GCGUGAGUGAAGAAGGCCCUAGGGUUGUAAAACUCUUUCACUGGUGACGAUGAUGACGGUAGCCAGAGAAGAAGCCCCGGCUAACUCCGUGCCAGCAGCCGCGGUAAUACGGAGGGGGCUAGCGUUGUUCGGAAUUACUGGGCGUAAAGCGCAUGUAGGCGGCGUAUCAAGUCGGGGGUGAAAGGCCUGGGCUCAACCCAGGAACUGCCUUCGAUACUGAUGCGCUGGAGUCCGGGAGAGGGUAGCGGAAUUCCCAGUGUAGAGGUGAAAUUCGU